UGGGGAAUUUUCCGCUAUGGGGGGAACCCUGACGGAGCAACGCCGCGUGCGGGAGGACGGCCUGUGGGUUGUAAACCGCUUUUCUCUAGGAAGAAGGUCUGACGGUACUAGAGGAAUCAGCAUCGGCUAACUCCGUGCCAGCAGCCGCGGUAAGACGGAGGAUGCAAGCGUUAUCCGGAAUUAUUGGGCGUAAAGCGUCCGCAGGUGGCACUUCAAGUCUGCUGUCAAAGACCAGAGCUCAACUCUGGGCAGGCGGUGGAAACUGGGGAGCUAGAGUACGGUAGGGGUAGAGGGAAUUUCCAGUGUAGCGGUGAAAUGCGUAGAGAUUGGAAAGAACACCAGUGGCGAAGGCGCUCUACUGGACCUGUACUGACACUAAGGGACGAAAGCUAGGGGAGCGAAAGGGAUUAGAUACCCGUGUAGUCC
rnacentral:rRNA from 1 species